AGAAAAAGUGUGAGAUUUCAAGGGAUUAAGCUAAUAAAGGUGGUGAGCCCUCUAACAAGGGUAAAGAGAUUGUGCCCAAAGACCGAGAAUAGAAGUAUAUCAAACUCCUAGUACAAUAGUGAUCGGCCUAGCGUGCAUUCAUCUGCACAUAUUGUCCACUGUGUAUAGGUAAAGGCAUCUUAUAGCACUUUAUUCCAAGUUGCUCCGCUGCUAGAGGUCAAGUCGUUCAUAACGUAUUUUGUUUGUGAAUAGACACUAGUGU